ensembl:snoRNA U3 Small nucleolar RNA U3
AAGACUAUACUUUCAGGGAUCAUUUCUAUAGUUUUUGACUUGAGAAAUGUGUUUCUAACUCGUAUGGUCUCGCUAACCAUGAUGAUGAGUUGUGAUAUUCCCUUUUGAGUGUGAAGCGGGCAGAGAAUAAUGAUUCAGUUCAUACGUUCUCUGUUAUUGAUGACUGUUCUUUGCUUCCUUGUGGAGUAAAGAGGAAGGGGAUAUGAUCAGAGUGGU